rnacentral:lncRNA from 1 species
GCCACACUUAAACAAGACAGUCUGCCUCCACUGCCAGAAGAGGGGGAUCUAGAAUCGGAGGAAACACUUGCUCAACAAUGUCUACAAGUUAACCAACUCCAGUCAAAUCCAGCUACUAAUGGGCCUCCGAAUCCACCAGCAGGCUCUCAGAUUCCUAAUGGACCAAGUCAGAUUGGUGACGCGGCUCAAGUCAGACCUGCUGCUUGGACUACAGACCCUGAAGAGGCCACUCGCCUGCUGACGGAAAAAAGGAGACAAGCCCGACUCCAGAGAGAGAAGGAGGAAGAGGAACACAGACUGAAAAAGAGCAGAGAGGACCUGGCCCGUCGAAGAGUUGAAGAACGAGCCAGAGAGGAAGCAGAGGCUCUGAGACUGGAGGAGGAGAAGAGGAAGAGAGAGGAAGAAGAGCAAUUGAAGGCUCAAGAGGAGAAUGCUCGCAGACAGAAAGAGGAGGAAAACAGGCUUCAACAGCAGGUAUUAAAAGCUUUUGGAUGUUUAAAUCCCUUUU